rnacentral:rRNA from 1 species
UACGAAGGGUGCAAGCGUUACUCGGAAUUACUGGGCGUAAAGCGUGCGUAGGUGGUUUGUUAAGUCUGAUGUGAAAGCCCUGGGCUCAACCUGGGAACUGCGUUGGAUACUGGCUUACUAGAGUGCGGUAGAGGGGUGUGGAAUUCCCGGUGUAGCAGUGAAAUGCGUAGAUAUCGGGAGGAACAUCUGUGGCGAAGGCGACACCCUGGACCAGCACUGACACUGAGGCACGAAAGCGUGGGGAGCAAACAGG